CGGACGGGUGAGUAAUGUCUGGGAAACUGCCCGAUGGAGGGGGAUAACUACUGGAAACGGUAGCUAAUACCGCAUAACGUCGCAAGACCAAAGAGGGGGACCUUCGGGCCUCGCGCCAUCAGAUGAACCCAUAUGGGAUUAGCUAGUAGGUGGGGUAAUGGCUCACCUAGGCGACGAUCCCUAGCUGGUCUGAGAGGAUGACCAGCCACACUGGAACUGAGACACGGUCCAG
rnacentral:rRNA from 1 species